rnacentral:lncRNA from 1 species
GUAGAUUUGGACAUAUAUAUAUAUAUAAAACUAAGCUGAAAUACUAUCAAUAGCACUAAGUUAUUGGUGCUAUUAAUUUUUUAGCCUUUGAAUUGAGAUAUUUGUGGUUAGAAUGAUAUGGACCCCCUAGGGUUGAGUGGAUGGUUGGUUGAAUAGUAUAAACUAACGGGUAAAAAUAGUCAAAAGGUUAAAUCUAACAGUGGAAAACUAUAGCGCCAAGUCCUGGUGCUAUCGAUAGUAUCCUAGCCGGACUCUAUAGAUAUAUAUAUAUAUACAUG